UGAGGAAUAUUGGGCAAUGCCCGCAAGGGUGACCCAGCAACGCCGCGUGGAGGAUGAAUGUCGUAAGAUUGUAAACUCCUGUUAGAGGGGAAGAAUAGUACCGGUUGGACCGGUAUAUGACUGUACCCUCAGAGAAAGCCCCGGCUAACUACGUGCCAGCAGCCGCGGUAAUACGUAGGGGGCAAGCGUUGUCCGGAUUUACUGGGUGUAAAGGGCGCGCAGGCGGGAUAAAAAGUCAGUGGUGAAAUCCUACAGCUUAACUGUAGAACUGCCUUGGAUACUUUUAUUCUUGAGUUCGGGAGAGAGAGACGGAAUUCCAGGUGUAGUGGUGAAAUACGUAGAUAUCUGGAAGAACACCAGUUGCGAAGGCGGUCUCUUGGUCCGACACUGACGCUGAGGCGCGAAAGCGUGGGGAGCAAACA
rnacentral:rRNA from 1 species